UGGGGAAUUUUGCGCAAUGGGCGAAAGCUUGACGCAGCAACGCCGCGUGAGUGAUGAAGGUCUUCGGAUCGUAAAGCUCUGUCGGCAGGAACGAUGCACACGAGGGUGAAUAUCCCUUGUGUCUGACGGUACCUGCAAAGGAAGCACCGGCUAACUCUGUGCCAGCAGCCGCGGUAAGACAGAGGGUGCGAGCGUUGUUCGGAAUUAUUGGGCGUAAAGCGCGCGUAGGCGGCGAGGUAAGUCGAAUGUGAAAUCCCUCGGCUCAACCGAGGAAGUGCAUUUGAAACUGCUUUGCUUGAGUGCCGGAGAGGGUGGUGGAAUUCCCAGUGUAGAGGUGAAAUUCGUAGAUAUUGGGAGGAACACCGGUGGCGAAGGCGACCACCUGGACGGCCACUGACGCUGAGGUGCGAAAGCGUGGGGAGCAAACAGG
rnacentral:rRNA from 1 species